UACGUAGGGGGCUAGCGUUGUCCGGAAUCAUUGGGCGUAAAGCGCGUGUAGGCGGCUCGGUAAGUCCGCUGUGAAAGUCGGGGGCUCAACCCUCGGAUGCCGGUGGAUACUGUCGGGCUAGAGUACGGAAGAGGCGAGUGGAAUUCCUGGUGUAGCGGUGAAAUGCGCAGAUAUCUGCAGGAACACCCGUGGCGAAGGCGGAUCUCUGGGCCUUACCUGACGCUCAGGCACGAAAGCUAGGGGAGCGAACAGG
rnacentral:rRNA from 1 species